rnacentral:misc_RNA from 1 species
GAUGAAGAACGCAGCGAAAUGCGAUACGUAAUGUGAAUUGCAGAAUUCAGUGAAUCAUCGAAUCUUUGAACGCAUAUUGCGCUCUCUGGUAUUCCGGAGAGCAUGCUUGUUUGAGUAUCAGUAAACACCUCAACUUCCAUAUCUUUUUUGAAAUGGGAGUUGGACUUGAGUGAUCCCAACGCUUUUCCUCACCGAAAAGUGGCGGGUUACUUGAAAUGCAGGUGCAGCUGGACUUUUCUCUGAGCUAUACGCAUAUCUAUUUAGUCUGCCUAAAAAACAGAUUAUUACCUUUGCUGCAGCUAACAUAAAGGAGAUUAGUUCUUGUGCUGACUGAUGCAGGAUUCACAAAGACAGGCUUCGGCCGACUUUGUAAACUCGAUCUCAAAUCAAGUAAGACUACCCGCUGAACUUAAGCAUAUCAAUAAGCGGAGGA